UGGUUCUGAUACAGAAGCAAAAAUAAAGGAUCUGGAUCUUCUUCAUUCGCCGGAAACUAUUGGCUCGCGUCCUGAUCUUGCUAAACUAACAGACAGUGAGUUGUUAGAGUCUGUUAUUAAUCCUAAGUCUGGUGAUCGAGUAACUGUUAAUACAAAAACAAAUAAAGUAAUGGAUGGUAAUUCUCGUGUAUACGAGUUGAAAAAAAGAGCUGAUGAUCCUAAUAGCUCAAUAACCGGUGAAACUACGAUACCAGUAGAAACUUACACACCUGAUGAUUCUUUUUUUUGGGACAUGUAAUAUGAAAAAUGAAUUUAUUCUCAUGAAGUUAGUCGCCAGAGGAUUGCUGGAUAUAAGAAUAGCAGCAGAUUCUGGUAAUGUGAAAGCUUGUCAUAUGUUAUCUGAUUUUAUACAUACUUUACCGUAUGCUAUUGAGAGGGUUUUAAAAGGUGAAAUUGAUUAUCAGUACGUGAUGGAUAAUUUAAAUGAAAGGGCCAAGAUAAAAAACAUGGAAGGUUGGCUUGCUAAUGCGUUGAGAGAUAUAAAUGCGUCAGAGUAAUAUCCUUUGAUAAAUAAUAAGCCGGGAAGUAUAUUAAUUCUCCCGGUUUUUAUUGCUAACUGAAAAACCACGUUCUGUGAGUGCAGCAGGACAAGAUUAUAAAAAAAUCUUUAAAAAUAUUAUGAUAUGGUAUUUUUCUUGAUGUGAAAUACUAUUAACUUUAAAAUAAGGAUAUACUUGUAUGGGUUUAUAAAAAUCACCUGAGUAUAUAUCAAUCAUCCCGGACAGGGAGAGAUUAUCGUGCAGGGAAAGAUCCAGGGAAAGAUCAUCAGAAGUUCACUUUUUGUACUAAAUAAUUCGCAUUUUAUGUUUAAAAAUUGAGAUAUUCCUUAUUACCUGAAGCUGUUUUUUAUUGCUUAUACAUGAUCAAAUACUCCUUACAUAAUUAAGGAGAACAAAAUGGAACUUAAAAAAUUGAUGGAACAUAUUUCUAUUAUCCCCGAUUACAGACAAGCCUGGAAAGUGGAACAUAAAUUAUCCGAUAUUCUACUGUUGACUAUUUGUGCCGUUAUUUCUGGUGCGGAAGGUUGGGAAGAUAUAGAGGAUUUUGGGGAAACACAUCUCGAUUUUUUGAAGCAAUAUGGUGAUUUUGAAAAUGGUAUUCCUGUUCACGAUACCAUUGCCAGAGUUGUAUCCUGUAUCAGUCCUGCAAAAUUUCACGAGUGCUUUAUUAACUGGAUGCGUGACUGCCAUUCUUCAGAUGAUAAAGACGUCAUUGCAAUUGAUGGAAAAACGCUCCGGCACUCUUAUGACAAGAGUCGCCGCAAGGGAGCGAUUCAUGUCAUUAGUGCGUUCUCAACAAUGCACAGUCUGGUUCUCGGGCAGAUUAAGACGGAUGAGAAAUCCAAUGAGAUUACAGCCAUUCCUGAACUUCUUAACAUGCUGGAUAUUAAAGGAAAAAUCAUCACAACAGAUGCGAUGGGUUGCCAGAAAGAUAUUGCAGAGAAGAUACAAAAACAGGGAGGUGAUUAUUUAUUCGCGGUAAAAGGAAACCAGGGGCGGCUAAAUAAAGCCUUUGAGGAAAAAUUUCCGCUGAAAGAAUUAAAUAAUCCAGAGCAUGACAGUUACGCAAUGAGUGAAAAGAGUCACGGCAGAGAAGAAAUCCGUCUUCACUAUUGUUUGCGAUGUCCCUGAUGAACUUAUUGAUUUCACG
rnacentral:rRNA from 1 species